rnacentral:rRNA from 1 species
AGCAGCCGCGGUAAUUCCAGCUCCAAUAGCGUAUAUUAAAGUUGUUGCAGUUAAAAAGCUCGUAGUUGAAUUUCGGGGUUAGUAAGUUGGUCAUGCCAUUGGUAUGCACUGGCUUUACUGAUUCCUCCUUCUUGACGAACCGUGAUGUCAUUAAUUUGAUGUUGCGGGAAAUCAGGACUGUUACUUUGAAAAAAUUAGAGUGUUUAAAGCAGGCUAACGCUUGAAUACAUUAGCAUGGAAUAAUGAAAUAGGACGUUAAUCCUAUUUUGUUGGUUUCUAGGGUUGACGUAAUGAUUAAUAGGGAUAGUUGGGGGCAUUAGUAUUCAAUUGUCAGAGGUGAAAUUCUUGGAUUUAUUGAAGACUAACUACUGCGAAAGCAUUUGCCAAGGAUGUUUUCAUUAAUCAAGAACGAAAGUUAGGGGAUCGAAGACGAUCAGAUACCGUCGUAGUCUUAACCAUAAACUAUGCCGACUAGGGAUCGGAUGAUGUUAAUUCUUUAAUGACUCA